UGUGCGGUUAUCUUAAGAGAGAAAGUCAGUUGCUGUAUCCGAGGGUGGGGAUGCCAUCCUCCCGUGUCGCUCUGUCACAGCGGGCCAGUCGGUGAAGUCUGCGCGCUGGAGGAGAAACGGGGAAGUACUGCUGGAGCUGAAUGGUCGGACAGGGGGAAUCACAUACGGGGAUGACUUUAACAGAAGCCGGGUAUCGAUACCAUCUGACUGGGACCGACGGGCAGACCUGUCCCUCACCAUAAAGGGAGCUCAGCAACAAGACGGAGGAGUUUAUUACUGUGAUGUAGAGAAGGCCGAGAAACACCGCUCUGCUGUGCGCCUGCGAGUGUGCAAACCACCGGAGUCCUUCCACUGGAUAUGGAUCACAAUCAUCAUAACAGCAGCCGUGACAUCUGUGAUUGUUUUUACUCUCAAGUUCUUUUGGGGCUGGAGAGAGAAGACCAAGGGUGUACAUGCAUGAAGAGAGCAGAGGAGACAGUGCCCGAAACAGUCCACUAAAUGACCAAUCAUUUAUAAUCAGGAGGAAAGCACAUCUCUAAAAAUUGCCCUGCCAAGUCUUCUGAUGUUAUACUGCCUGUAAAAACAAAUAGAAAUAGCUUUUUGUAGUGCAUUACUUUUAGUACCAAAGUCCAAACCCGAACCUUUAUUUCACUGUGUAAUGAAAGUCUUCAUGGCAAAAUAAACAGCAGAUAUCUGCACACUGCUAACUUACAGUAUAAAGAUAAAAGAAUACACAGAUACAGAGAUUUCUUUCUAGCUUUUGACUUAUUGAUUUAUUUGUGUCUUCUUCUUCUUGGCAGCUCUUCACUUGGUACAGUUGAAGGUCUGUCCUGAGAGAGAAGGUAUAGCUUGGUUAUAACA